AUUUAGAUAUCAAGGUUUGUUUGUUUGAGUUCUGUUCGGUUUUCAGAGCGCCGCCCUGAAAACACAAGCAACUGGGGAAUUAGCUCAGCUGGGAGAGCACCUGCUUUGCAAGCAGGGGGUCAUCGGUUCGAACCCGAUAUUCUCCAUUGGCAAUUUUUUUGCCAAUUGCACAUUGAUAACUGAAUAGUAAUUUAAUUUCUUGUUAAUUAAAAUCCUGAUGUCUCUUACGACAUCGAGACAUCAGGUAAAUUGAACCGAGAAAUUCACUUCGAUAAAAGUAACUGAAAAGUUACCGCUAAUAAAAUCUAGAGAUAGAUCUCAUAAAUAAUUUAUUAGUUAAUCGUCGAUUUUUAAUCGAUAGGUUAAGUUAAUAAAGGGGCGCACA
rnacentral:tRNA from 1 species